rnacentral:lncRNA from 1 species
UUCCUUGCAAAAACCCUCAGCUCACCCGAGGGCCAAUGGAAAUUUAUUAAUUUUUUUUGUCCUUUUCCAUCUUUCCCCAAGUGGCUUUUCCUUGCAAAAUGCCUGACAUGACACCAGAGGGGAACCUGGGAGCGGGGGGCACCCCAAGGGGGCAGCCCAGGGACUUAAAUACAAGCUGGAGGGCAGGGCACAGGUGGGACAGGCAAGAGACAGCACGAGGGACAUGGCUUCUCAGGGAGACCAAAGACUUGCUUUCUUGCAGGAAGCAGCUGUGCCAGAGGGCAGGGGACUAGGAUCCUGGGUGCAGAGUGGGUGAGCAGAGAGGAGGAGGUGCUAGCAGAGUGAGGGUUAAGGCUGGUGCCCAGCCUCUGGCACGGUGGGCCUUCCGCCUCCGCCUGACAUGGGGACAAAGGGGCACGGUGGGCAGGCAGCGCAUGGGUCUGUCUCUGGCAGGGCAGAGGGCGGCAGGAGCAGACUCCCUCCAGGCUCAAGACACAGGCCCAGCGCUGCUACCCGCCCACCCGCCCUAGAUAUACUCAGAUCCCACCGCAGCUGGACGGCUCAAGCUGGGAGUGUGGGAGGGGAGAUGAG